rnacentral:rRNA from 1 species
AGCAGCCGCGGUAAUUCCAGCUCCAAUAGCGUAUAUUAAAGUUGUUGCAGUUAAAAAGCUCGUAGUUGAAUUUCGGGGUCAGUAGAUUGGUCAUGCCACUGGUAUGUACUGGUCUCACUGAUUCCUCCUUCCUGAUGAGCCGUAAUGCCAUUAAUUUGGUGUUGCGAGGAAUCUGGACUGUUACUUUGAAAAAUUAGAGUGUUUAAAGCAGGCUAACGCUUGAAUACAUUAGCUAUGGAAUAAUGAAAUAGGACGUUCGAUCUUAUUUUGUUGGUUUCUAAGAUUGACGUAAUGAUUAAUAGGGAUAGUUGGGGGCAUUAGUAUUCAAUUGUCAGAGGUGAAAUUCUUGGAUUUAUUGAAGACUAACUACUGCGAAAGCAUUUGCCAAGGAUGUUUUCAUUAAUCAAGAACGAAAGUUAGGGGAUCGAAGACGAUCAGAUACCGUCGUAGUCUUAACCAUAAACUAUGCCGACUAGGGAUCGGAUGAUGUUAAUUUUUUAAUGA